AUACGUAGGGAGCGAGCGUUGUCCGGAAUUACUGGGCGUAAAGGGCGCGUAGGCGGCGCUUCAAGUCGUCUGUCAAAUGGAAGGGCUUAACCCUUUUUCGCAGACGAAACUGGAGAGCUUGAGAAGCAGAGAGGCAAACAGAAUUCCUGGUGUAGCGGUGAAAUGCGUAGAUAUCAGGAAGAAUACCAGUGGCGAAGGCGGUUUGCUGGCUGCAUACUGACGCUGAAGCGCGAAAGCCAGGGGAGCGAACGGGAUUAGAUACCCCGGUAGUCCUGGCAGUAAACGAUGUAUGCUGGGUGUGGGAGUAGCGAUACCUCCGUGCCGAAGUUAACGCGAUAAGCAUACCGCCUGGGGAGUAUGGUCGCAAGAUUGAAACUCAAAGGAAUUGACGGGG
rnacentral:rRNA from 1 species